UACGAAGGGGGCUAGCGUUGCUCGGAAUUACUGGGCGUAAAGCGCACGUAGGCGGAUUGUUAAGUCGGGGGGUGAAAUCCUGGAGCUCAACUCCAGAACUGCCUUCGAUACUGGCGAUCUCGAGUUCGGGAGAGGUGAGUGGAACUGCGAGUGUAGAGGUGAAAUUCGUAGAUAUUCGCAAGAACACCAGUGGCGAAGGCGGCUCACUGGCCCGGUACUGACGCUGAGGUGCGAAAGCGUGGGGAGCGAACAGG
rnacentral:rRNA from 1 species